rnacentral:rRNA from 1 species
UACAGGGGGUGCAAACGUUGCUCGGAAUCAUUGGGCGUAAAGCGCACGUAGGCGGUCUGUUAUGUCGGAUGUGAAAGCCCUUGGCUUAACUGAGGAAGUGCAUCCGAAACUGGCAGGCUAGAGUACUAAAGAGGGUCGCGGAAUUCCCGGUGUAGAGGUGAAAUUCGUAGAUAUCUGGAGGAACACCGGUGGCGAAGGCGGCAUCCUGGACCGACAUUGACGCUGAGGCGCGAAAGUGUGGGGAGCGAACAGG